AGGUCAAGUCAUCAUGGCCCCUAUGUCCAGGGCUACACACGUGCUACAAUGGUCGGUACAGAGCGAAGCGAAGCCGCGAGGCCAUAGCGAAGCGCGAAAGCCGGCCGUAGUCCGGAUUGAAGUCUGAAACCCGACUUCAUGAAGUUGGAAUCGCUAGUAAUCGCGCAUCAGCAUGGCCGCGUCCGAUACGUUCCGGCCUU
rnacentral:rRNA from 1 species